AGCAUAUCAAUAAGCGGAGGAAAAGAAACCAACAGGGAUUGCCCUAGUAACGGCGAGUGAAGCGGCAACAGCUCAAAUUUGAAAUCUGGCUUUCGGGCCCGAGUUGUAAUUUGUAGAGGAUACUUUUGAUGCGGUGCCUUCCGAGUUCCCUGGAACGGGACGCCAUAGAGGGUGAGAGCCCCGUCUGGUUGGAUGCCAAAUCUCUGUAAAGUUCCUUCGACGAGUCGAGUAGUUUGGGAAUGCUGCUCUAAAUGGGAGGUAUAUGUCUUCUAAAGCUAAAUAUUGGCCAGAGACCGAUAGCGCACAAGUAGAGUGAUCGAAAGAUGAAAAGCACUUUGAAAAGAGAGUUAAAAAGUACGUGAAAUUGUUGAAAGGGAAGCGUUUAUGACCAGACUUGGACUUGGUUAAUCAUCUGGGGUUCUCCCCAGUGCACUUUUCCAGUUCAGGCCAGCAUCAGUUUUCGCCGGGGGAUAAAGGCAGCGGGAAUGUGGCUCUCUUCGGGGAGUGUUAUAGCCCGUUGUGUAAUACCCUGGUGGGGACUGAGGUUCGCGCUUCUGCAAGGAUGCUGGCGUA
rnacentral:rRNA from 1 species